AGAGUUUGAUCCUGGCUCAGGAUGAACGCUGGCGGCGUGCCUAAUACAUGCAAGUCGAGCGAGAAGCUACUUUGAAGCGUUUUCGGACAAUUCUGUGUAGUGGAAAGCGGCGGACGGGUGAGUAACGCGUAGGCAACCUGCCCUUAGCAGAGGGAUAGCCAUUGGAAACGAUGAUUAAAACCUCAUAAUGCCAACUUAACACAUGUUGAGCUGGCCAAAGAUUUAUCGGCUAAGGAUGGGCCUGCGUCUGAUUAACUAGUUGGCGGGGUAACGGCCCACCAAGGUGACGAUCAGUAGCCGACCUGAGAGGGUGAUCGGCCACAUUGGAACUGAGACACGGUCCAAACUUCUACGGAAGGCAGCAGUAAGGAAUCUUGCACAAUGGGGGAAACCCUGAUGCAGCAACGCCGCGUGAACGAUGAAGGCCUUCGGGUUGUAAAGUUCUGAUCUUGGGGAAGAAGAAAGUGACGGUACCCAAGGAGAAAGCCCCGGCUAACUACGUGCCAGCAGCCGCGGUAAUACGUAGGGGGCAAGCGUUAUCCGGAAUUAUUGGGCGUAAAGAGUGCGUAGGUGGUUACCUAAGCGCAAGGUUUAAUCUUGAGGCUCAACCUCAUUCUGCCUUGCGAACUGGGCUACUUGAGUGCUGGAGGGGAAAGCGGAAUUCCCAGUGUAGCGGUGAAAUGCGUAGAUAUUGGGAAGAACACCGGUGGCGAAGGCGGCGUUCUGGACAGUAUCUGACACUGAGGCACGAAAGCGUGGGGAGCAGACAGGAUUAGAUACUCUGGUAGUCCACGCCGCAAACGAUGAGCACUAGUUGUUGUGUGCGAAUGGAUACAGUGACGCAGUUAACGCAAUAAGUGCUCCGCCUGGGGAGUACGGUGGCAACACUAAAACUCAAAGGAAUUGACGGGGACCCGCACAAGCAGCGGAGCAUGUGGUUUAAUUUGAAGCAACGCGAAAAACCUUACCAGGGCUUGACAUCCCUCUGAAAGCUCUUUUAACCGAGAGCCCCCUUCGGGCAGAGGUGACAGGUGGUGCAUGGUUGUCGUCAGCUCGUGUCGUGAGAUGUUGGGUUAAGUCCCGCAACGAGCGCAACCCUUAUCCUCUGUUGCCAGCACUUCGGGUGGGAACUCAGAGGAGACUGCCAGUUAUAAACUGGAGGAAGGCGGGGAUGACGUCAAGUCAUCAUGGCCCUUACGGCCGGGGCUACACACGUGCUACAAUGGGGCGUACAGAGGGAAGCCAAGCCGUGAGGCGGAGCGGAUCUCACAAAGCGUCCCGUAGUUCGGAUUGAAGUCUGCAACUCGGCUUCAUGAAGUCGGAAUCGCUAGUAAUCGCGAAUCAGAAUGUCGCGGUGAAUACGUUCCCGGGCCUUGUACACACCGCCCGUCACACCAUGGGAGCGGAAUGCACCAGAAGCAGCUUGCUUAACAGCAAUGGGGGCGGCUGCCACGGUGUGUUUUGUAACUGGGGUGAAGUCGUAACAAGGUAACCGUA
rnacentral:rRNA from 1 species